AGUGAACGCUGGCGGUAGGCCUAACACAUGCAAGUCGAACGGCAGCACAGUAAGAGCUUGCUCUUACGGGUGGCGAGUGGCGGACGGGUGAGGAAUACAUCGGAAUCUACUUUUUCGUGGGGGAUAACGUAGGGAAACUUACGCUAAUACCGCAUACGACCUACGGGUGAAAGCAGGGGAUCUUCGGACCUUGCGCGAUUGAAUGAGCCGAUGUCGGAUUAGCUAGUUGGCGGGGUAAAGGCCCACCAAGGCGACGAUCCGUAGCCGGUCUGAGAGGAUGAUCAGCCACACUGAAUCUGAGACACGGUCCAGACUCCUACGGGAGGCAGCAGUGGGGAAUAUUGGACAAUGGGCGCAAGCCUGAUCCAGCCCUACCGCGUGGGUGAAGAAGGCCUUCGGGUUGUAAAGCCCUUUUGUUGGGAAAGAAAAGCAGCAGGUUAAUACCCCGCUGUUCUGACAGUACCCAAAGAAUAAGCACCGGCUAACUUCGUG
rnacentral:rRNA from 1 species